CAUGUGCAGGACUAAUCCUGCAUACUCAGUAACUGAUAAUUGAUCGAUCACCGUCGUAUUUAGGUGAAACAACCUUUUUCCUAUUUUUUAACUUUUUGGUGAGGGCAAAUUUAACUAUCUACAAUCAUGACCUAAUUAAUAAACAUAAAACCUCUUUAACCGUUAUGACAGCAUUUCGAUUACGAAGAAAAUAAACUGUCAAACUUGAGUGAGAUACGAUUUU